CCCCGCCACAUUAUUUAUGUAUGUGCCUGUCCCAAGUCAGGAGCCUGUAAUUCAGUGGUUGUCGUUUGUUUAUGUGUUACAUAUUUGUUUUUUCGUUAUAUUUUUUUAUAUAAAUAAGGCCGUUAGUUUUCUCGUUUGAAUUGUUUUACAUUGUCUUAUCAGGGCCUUUUAUAGCUGACUAUGCGGUAUGGGCUUUGCUCAUUGUUGAAGGCCGUACGGUGACCUAUAGUUGUUAAUGUCUGUGUCAUUUUGG
rnacentral:lncRNA from 1 species